GAGACAUCCUCUCCGACAAAUGUUUUUCACUCACCCGUGGCGCAGCACAAGUAUGUGGAUAUACCCAGUGACCAGGAGCCCGUUACACGCGUGCCAAAAGUGAAGUUCUCUGAACCUCAGAAAGAGGUUCCCAGGAGAGGAUCAAACCCACAUAAUUAAAGACACAGCAGCUUGGGUACCGCAGAAACAGCCUCAGAUGAAGAUGCUCCUCAUCCUGGCUGGCGUGAGACUUGCCCACUCCUGGCAAGUGAUACUGUCUCCAAGACGUUUCUAAACUCGCCAUUCUGCUGCUUCUCGUCACGUACAGGAAGUGAGCCCCGCCUUUGGUGGACCUGUGUUUGUGCGCUCCUUUGCGCAUUUUCUCAAGCCCUGCGGAAACCCUCCAGGGUAAAAUUCCGG
rnacentral:lncRNA from 1 species